rnacentral:rRNA from 1 species
UACGUAGGGUGCAAGCGUUGUCCGGAAUUAUUGGGCGUAAAGAGCUCGUAGGCGGUUCGUCGCGUCGGCUGUGAAAUCCCGAGGCUCAACCUCGGGUCUGCAGUCGAUACGGGCGGACUGGAGUUCGGCAGGGGAGACGUGGAAUUCCUGGUGUAGCGGUGAAAUGCGCAGAUAUCAGGAGGAACACCGGUGGCGAAGGCGGGUCUCUGGGCCGAUACUGACGCUGAGGAGCGAAAGCGUGGGGAGCGAACAGG